AAUGCCUGCCUUAAAAAAAAAGGAAAAGAAGAGAAAACCCAGGUGAUUUUAGUCACAAAGUGUUUGGAACUGAUUUGAGGCAAGUGAAAUCAACAUUUAGAUUUGACACCCUGCCCUCAGCCAAUCCAAGAGAGCUUUUCACCUGCCAUCACCCCUUCUACCAAUAGGAUCAAGUGUUUAGGCUCAGAACCCUCCCCAGCCAAUCGUGUGCAAGCUCAGCCACUUAGUUAAUGAUGCAGCAGUACAGGGAAGACUAUCACAUGUGAGCUGGAAGGCUGCCAACAUGGAGACACGGAGAGAGCAAGGGAUAGGAGACAUGGUUUGACUUUGGGAAGUAACGCACUUUGGCCCAGAGCCCGCAAAUGUUCACGCACGUGUUUAACUUUACGCACAAUGGGACUUCAAAGGGACUACUCACUUGAGUAAAGCUAUGUGUGUGUGUAAGCCUUUGUAAAACGGGGAUGUAACCGGAUGUCCCAGGAUGGGUUUUUGGCAGCUGGGCUGAAACCUUGGACCUCUGGAUCUGAAAGCAUGAGCCUCAACUGCCUGACCUAAAAGACCCAGCUGCAUUAGCCCAAAAGCUGUAGCAGAUUCAUCAACCUUGUGUGUUAUAACAGCAGAACUCCUAGCCACUUGAGGGAGACAAAGAGACAAACUACGUAAGUGUGGGUUACUGUAAGUAUUGGAAAAUUGUAAGCUCUUCCCUUUCCAUCCACACUGAUUUCAAAAAUGUGUUAACCAGAUAAAAUGAAUGCUUUUGCCCAGAGUGAAGAUUUUGAGGCUCAUGACGACAUUGCCUGGGUCACCAGCACUACUAGUCACAGUCCAGGAAUCUUCAUAAUAGCUAAAAACAUCAGCACAACCCUGUAUGGGUUAGGCAAGCAAAACAUUCCAGAGGGCUUGGACACAGCUCCUCAGGCAGCAGGCUGAAGGUUAACCCUAGUGAGUCAUAGCUAGCUCCCAUGUUCGGCAAAGAAAGUUGGACGCUCAGAUUAUUUAUCUUCAAGAACUAGGGCAGUGGUUCUCAAACUUUUUUCUCGUGGACCACUUGAAAAUUGCUGAGGGUCUCAGCGGACUACUUAAUGAUCUUUCCAAAUGUUGUUUGUACCAUUAGCUAAAUAUUGUAAAGCGCUUUGGAUAAAAGCACUAUAUAUAAAAAAAAAACGUAAUUAACUUUUUUUGUUCUAUAAAUAAAAGCACACAACUCA